rnacentral:lncRNA from 1 species
GCUGGUUGUUGCUCUGUCGGUGUUGUUUGUUUCUGUUGCAGGUGUGGCGUACGGAGGGUGGACGUGGCACGUACGGAGGUGCGCGUGGCUGGGGAGAAUGGCGCUGGAGCUAGGGCUGAAUGCCUAGGGUUUCUGCUUCUGAAUUUGUUUUGGGCAUGGAUCGAAUUCGGGCUGAUGCUUAGGAUCGGGUUUAGUUUUAGUUUUUUUUAAAUUGUAAUUGGGCUGUGUAAAUGGACAUUUGGGCUAAACUUAAAUAUUUUGUUUUUCUUUUCUUUUUUAUUUGGUUUAACAAAAUGGGCCGGGCAAAUUGGCCUAUUACAUUAGGCAUUCAGCGGAUGUACAAGAUAAUUCAUCCAGAACUCUGAUAGUAUUUUCUAGCCAAAAUUUAGCCUUUUCUGGAUCAUCAUCAGCUG